UACGUAGGGGGCAAGCGUUGUCCGGAUUUAUUGGGCGUAAAGAGCUCGUAGGUGGUUCGGUAAGUCGGAUGUGAAAUCUCCAGGCUCAACCUGGAGGGGUCAUUCGAUACUGCCGUGACUAGAGGUCGGUAGGGGAGUGUGGAAUUCCUGGUGGAGCGGUGAAAUGCGUAGAUAUCAAGAGGAACACCUGCGGCGAAGGCGGGUUGCUGGGCCGACACUGACGCUGAGGCGCGAAAGCUAGGGGAGCGAACGGG
rnacentral:rRNA from 1 species